rnacentral:rRNA from 1 species
GGUGGCGGCAGCCUAACACAUCAAGUCGAACGGUACAGGAUAGCUUGCUAUCGCUGACGAGUGGCGGGUGAGUAAUACUUAGGGAUCUGCCUCUGUGUGGGGGAUAACUAUUGGAAACGAUAGCUAAUACCGCAUAAUGUCUACGGACCAAAGCGGGCUUCGGCUCGUGCGCAGAGAGGAACCUAAGCGAGAUUAGCUAGUUGGUGAGGUAAAGGCUCACCAAGGCGACGAUCUCUAGCUGUUCUGAGAGGAAGAUCAGCCACACUGGAACUGAGACACGGCCCAGACUCCUACGGGAGGCAGCAGUGGGGAAUAUUGGACAAUGGGGGCAACCCUGAUCCAGCCAUGCCGCGUGUGUGAAGAAGGCCUUAGGGUUGUAAAGCACUUUCAGUAGGGAGGAAGGCCCUGUAGUUAAUACCUGCAGGGAUUGACGUUACCUACAGAAGCAGCACCGGCUAACUCCGUGCCAGCAGCCGCGGGUAAUACGGAGGGGUGCAAGCGUAAAUCGGAAUACUGGCGUAAGCGCGCGAGGCG